rnacentral:rRNA from 1 species
UACGUAGGGUGCAAGCGUUGUCCGGAAUUAUUGGGCGUAAAGGGCUCGUAGGCGGUCCAUCGCGUCGGGAGUGAAAAGCUGGGGCGUAACCCCAGUCCUGCUUCCGAUACGGGUGGACUAGAGGUAGGCAGGGGAGAACGGAAUUCCUGGUGUAGCGGUGAAAUGCGCAGAUAUCAGGAGGAACACCAAUGGCGAAGGCAGCUCGCUGGGACGUGACUGACGCUGAGACGCGAAAGCGUGGGGAGCAAACAGG